AUCAGUUGGGUUUUCUGUGAUACUAAUGAGGUUCUAACCGAGGCGCGUCCAUUGCUGGUUGAAAACUAUUUCCAAACCCCCUCCUCGGCCUGGGUUCAGCCCAGUGCCCUCGAGAAUUUCUGGAAGGGCUCCCUUCAGGGCAAAGCU
rnacentral:snRNA from 1 species